AGUGAUCCCAGGAAUGGUGGCACAACCUUCAACCUUAGCUCUCAGGAGGCUGAGGCAGUAGGUCUCUGUAAGUUCGAAGCCAGCGGGAUCUACACAGAGAGCUCCAAGUCAGCCAAGGCUACACAUAGAAACAUUGUUCCAAACAAAAAACAAACUCCAGGACAAGGCUGUGAAUUUGUGAGGCAGAAUCUACAAGCAAUGAAUGAGUGGAGAGCCCAUGCAGCUAAGAAAUUUGUUCCAUGCCCCACAGCUUGUGACUGUGGGACUCUGUGGACAUGAAGCCUGGCUUGUAACUUCACACCUUCAUUGGGGUAGCAAGCUGGUCUGAAGCUCAAGACCACAUGAAGCCCUACAGAGUCUGCUUCUCCCUGCUUCCUGUUCCUCUACACCGCUGGCUCUGUCUCAGUUUCCCACCUGGACACCAGCAUGACUUUCAGACAGCAGUCACUCUGACUCUGGAGCCCAACUGAGACUGAUCAGAUCAAUCGGCUUUCAGAAAUGGGGAUGUGACAAGUGACGCCAGCUAAACCUCCUCUAGCGACUGCGCCACGCGCAUGGAAAGAUACACUGUAGAGCGAGGGGGACAGAGUUACGCCCGGGCUCUCUGGAUGGCAGCUUUGGAAAGUUGACGAUUUAUCACCUACCCCAACUCCUUCUCAAGUGUGGUCUGGGACUCGUUGCUCAUCCGUGUGAUUUUGCCAAGUGGUGUUUGGACUUGGCGUUGGGAGUUCACACUGUAGGCGGUGAUGGCAGUGAUCUGAAGCCUGAAUACCUUAAUAAAUAAUUACGGUGAUUCUGUGAUCACCAGACAUG
rnacentral:lncRNA from 1 species